CCGGCAGACGGGACUGACGAGGUCACCAAGCCCAGGCCGAGACGGCGCGGGUGUCAGGGACUUGGGAAUCCCCCUCCCCCAGUCCCGAUCCCGCUUUCCUUUGGGGUUUCACCUCAGAGGACCCGACAUCACUCUUGCAGUUUCCUCAUCAAGAUGGACUGCACCUUCUGGCAUCUCAAGUGGUUCUUGUGAAGAUUAAAUGAAUCCAUCAGGCCGGGCGCGGUGGCUCACACCUGUAAUCCCAGCACUUUGGGAGGCCGAGACGAGCACAUCACCUGAGGUCAGGAGUUCCAGACCAGCCUGGCCAACAUGGUGAAACCCCAUCUCUACUAAAAAUACAAAAAGUUAGCCAGGUGUGGUGGCUCAUGCUUGUAGUCCCAGCUACGUGGGAGGCUGAGGCAGGCGAAUCACUUGAACCCAGGAGGCGGAGGUUGCAGUGAGCCAAGAUUGUGCCAUUGCACUCCAGCCUGGGGGAUAGAGUGAGACUCCAUCUCAAAAAAAUAAAUAAAAAAAAAAAAAAUGGAUCAAUCAGUUUAAAAACUUAGAACAGUGCGUGGCAAAUAGUGCUCAAGAAGAGUAGGCUUGUGAAACAUUCACAUGCAUCGUUUUAACGAACAAUGCUUCCCCAGACCUCCCCACAGAGUUGAUGCUCUGGAAAGAAAAGCCAGGCUUUUCUCUGAGGUUUUGCAUCUCCUUGGCCAAUGUGCUCAUGCCAGAGAAGAGCAGUGCAUGGCCAGUUUGAGGAGCACGGCCAUGUGACCUUGGACAGCCCCUGCCUCUCUCUAGGACUCACUCCCGGCUGCUAACCUCAGCUCUCUGAUCUGUACCACAAGGAGCUGCCACUAACACCUGUGUCAGAACUACUGUAAGGACCCUUUCCUCCUGGGAGAGGAGAACAGUGCUAAACCUGUCUGAACGUGAUAGACAUGCUACAAACUGCCAACCCUUUAGGCUAUAAACUGCUCACACAUGGGCCAAGUGUCACUCUCAUAAGAAGGUGUGAUUUUUUUUAAGCUGCCAGCAGCCUUGAAGCCACCUGGGACUGCACAGUAUGUUUGUGUGUGCCUUGAUCGCAUCACCCCCUGGACCUCCAGUGGUAUGCAUGCUAUGCUUGGGGACCCUGGUCUGUCUGCCUGUCUGUGGGACAAGUGGCUCAUGCUAAGAACUCCCUGGGCCUGGGAUUCCCUGAUAUGGAGCCUGUUGGGGCUCCCUGGGGCAGAAGGACUGGAGAUCAUCUCCUGGCUUGGGCAGGGGGAUGGGCAGCUUGUGAGGGCCUGGCAAGGAUAGGGGUGGGGAAUGGAGCAGGCCACCUACCAGCUUGCCCCGCUGCUGGGCUGAGCGGCUGUCCCGCAAUGUGUACACAUUCCCACAGACCGAGAUCUCCCGCCAGACACCCGGGGCUGAGUCCUCGGAGAAGCCGCCUGCCGGGUGCAUCACCAGGACUCCAUUAGUGGUCAGUCCAUCCAUCAGGCCAUCUGGGGUCCGCCAUUUGGCCGCUCGCUCCUGGGACCACAUGAGGAAUCAGAUCACAUCCCCCAGGGGCCCCCCAGCAGGCCAUGUGCCAGAGGCACUGCCCCCCCUACCCUCAAGUUCAGAGGCGGCCCAGAGAGGACUGGCAUUGAAGCUGCAUGACUUGAGCGUCUCUCUGGGCCUCACUUUGCUCAUCAGUUAGGUGGGGUUGCUAACUGCCAGGACCACCAUUUGGAUUACUGUGGGCUGGUUCAUCACCUCAAGAUGCUGCACCUCCCAAGCCUACCCCUUGCUUCACAGAUGAAGAGUUGGUCCCUUCCUAGGGCUCACUCACUCCAAGGAAGAUGUUGCUAGAGGCAUCGAAGCCAGCGGCAUAGAUGCGGGCAGUAUAGGGUGGCCGGCGGUCACAGAGGAUGCGGCAGGCAUAGCGAGAGAUGGUGCUCUGGGCAGAAGGGCCCUCGGCAGCCCCUCCUCCAGGGGACGUGUCUGUUACCACGAAGUCAAUCAUGUUCUCUGUGGAGCGGCCGAUCUGUGAGGACAGGGAGAGCAAGCAGGGACUGUAUGUACAUAGGGGACUCUCAUGGGCCUUCCCUCCCAGAGUACCAGCAGCUGCUCUGUAUGCAAGGUCACCAAAAAAGGAGGCUGCCAGGCCCUGGAGAAGGGGCAGCACCAACUCCAUAGGCCCUCUAGGCUCCCAGGUGGGGUCUCCAAGUCCAAGAAGCCAUGGCCUGGAGCAGCUUCUCCUUCUCUGUUGCCCCCACAGCACUAGGGAUCGCCCCAUUCAAUAAAUACAAGUUGAUUUGCUGAUAUAA